UAAGGUACAUAUUAAAUUAGGCGAUGAACGCCGUAAUUACAGUCCAGCAAGUCUAAUGAUCGGAGCUCGAAGAACAAGGCCUGCCAGAUCAGCUCUCGCUCGGGCCAGACAGCACGUGAGAGAUCGGGGACCAGGGUGGGUGCAGCUUAUCUGCUGUACUCUUUCCUUCGAUAAUCUGGUUAUCAGGAGCAUGUAACAACGGAGGCAAGAUGGCAUAACAGUCAGAAAGUUUGUAGUUAUGUAUUUUUCAAGACUCAGGAAACAUGUGUAGCGUGCUGAACACAUACUACACAGCAAAUGAUAUCAGAAUGUAAAUAUUUAUGAGCGAUUAUAUCGAGGUAACUGAACUAUCAAAAAGUAAGAA